UGCGUUUCUUGUGGUCAUCAAUGGCAGAAGGUGAAACCAAUACUGUGAUCUUCUUCUCCACCAAUGUUGCUGCUCUAGCCUAGUCUUAUUUCAUCUCUUCAAAGCUUCACAAAGGUAGUUUGGUGCCUUGGAAGGAAGAAAAAGAAGUUGGUGAAGAAGAGUUGUUGGAGCUUGAGCUUGAAGAUCUGAGUUAUCAUCAUCAUUUGGCACUCAUUUAAGGUACCUCUUCAUCGAAGGGGAAGGAGUUGGCGCGGUAGCUGCACAUCAUACACGCACAUUGUUUUCCGCACCAUGAGUUAUUCUGGGAUUUUGUACUCUGACACUAUGGUUGUUUUUAUGUUUUGGUUUUCAGACACGAAAUAUGUUUAUGAAAUGAUAUGAUCAAACGAUGUUUAUUCAC